GAGCGGGGAGUGUGGCUGGAGAACCUGGCCUGCUCAGUGCACCCCUUGCUGCCGCCAUGUUGCCCCCUCUCCCCACCCUCAGUGGUCCCUGAGGCACUUCCACAGGCUCCCAAGGCCUGGAGGAACCGGGUUUGAAAACCACUGGACAAGAGUCACUCUUUAGGGUCCCUCCAAGGUGCAGGAGCCCUGGGGAGUGGCGAGGGGCCCCUGCUCUCCCCAUGUGCAGAUGAGAGUUGUUCCUUGAGCCGCAGUCCAGCUGCCUCCCGAGGGUCGAGGGUCGUGAGAAAGAAGGCAAGGGCAGGCUCAGGGCGCAGGAAGCGGAGCAGGCCAGCUGAGAGGCAGUGACAGGCACUGGUACCGUGGCCUCCUGGAUGGGCUGGUGACAUCACAACCCCAGGAAGCAGCUGCCCGAGAGGCCCUCGCGGUCCCUCAGGCCCCCUCUGGGAAAAUCAGCCACCAGCUGUUGCAGUCUUUUCUCACUCGCUCGCUGCUCUGGAUUGUCCCCUCCUGAACCAUCAUCUUCAGCAGCAGCGGCCCCUUCCUCUCGUUAAGGACCUACUGUGCUCGAGAACGGCGCUGCCCUUACCACCCAUGUGUUCCCAGUUGUCACAUCCGUGUUAGGGAGUAGGGACCGGUACCAUACCCAUUUUACGGAUGCUGAACCCGAGGCUCAGAGGGGCAAGACAGGUUGCCCAAGGUGAACACCAGAGGCAGGAUUUGAACCUGGUUCUGUCUGACUCAGCCGAUGCUCUUUUCAUGAAUGAUCACAUUGUCCGAUUCAAAGCAGAACAGUGCAGCGUGGAGAGCUCCUCACACAUGGCAAGAAAGAAACCGAGAUUCCAAGGAGCAGAGGAGCAUCCAUCAAGACCGUAGAAUAGGUACCCGAGCCUGAGGCAUCAGUGGUAGUAACGGAGGAGGGAAAAGGAGAGAAGAGAACCUGUAUGGACCUGUUGACCCAGCAACUACCACACACCUGGCCCCAUGCUGUGUCCCCAGGCACCGAGGAGACUAACAUACCUGGUGGAGAGAGCAUGUCAAGUGCCUUGCAGAGCAGAGGCAUGCGAUAAUUAUUUGUUGAAUAAAUGAGGUAGGUCUAAUUAGUUUCAUUUUAUAAACUGGGGAAUUGAGGCAAGGAGAGUUGACUUAGUUCAACAUCAUUAGUAAAAGAGAAGAACAGGGAUUUGAACAUAAAUCUGCCUGGCCCUGAAAGGCCAUGAUUUUUCAGAACCACCUCCAGCCCCCCAACCCCCACCCUGGCCCCGGCUUGACCAUUUUGCACAAACCACGGAAGUCUGUGUGAUAGAAAAGGAAAGGGUUUUCUAUUUGGUCACUCAGGAGUCUUGCACAGCCACCAUUUUCCCUUCCCGUGACCAAAUAGCUGGCAUUCUCUUCUUUUAACGUCUGUAGCAUUUAUAGAUUGACUUGUGCACUUACAGGUUAUUUUCUUCCUCCUUCUUAUGCUAAAGAAUAUAAGAAACUUGAAAACAUUAACAUUUUAGGGAGAAAUCUUUAGAAGACCCCUUUCUAGAAGACACAGAGCCCUGUGGUUUGAUGGCAAACAAUGGGACUUCAGGGUUGGCUCUGCCAUUAGCUUUGGCGUGAGCUUGGACGUGUUUUAUAGCCCCUCUCUGGGCCCUUUACCACCCUACACCUGCCUGUCCAAAUUUCAUAAAGCCUUAGAUUUCCAUUGUUGGAAAGGAUUUAAAAUAAUCACUUAGCACCAUCUCACCAUAUUAUUCACAAGGCAACCAAAGCCAGGGUACCUGGGCUUGUUCAAGAUCCUAUGGCUGGGAUGUUGAUUCCUAGUCCAGCGUCCUUUCU